rnacentral:rRNA from 1 species
CAAACGAGCGAGUGAAGCGGCAAAAGCUCAAAUUUGAAAUCUGGUACCUUCGGUGCCCGAGUUGUAAUUUGGAGAGGGCAACUUUGGGGCCGUUCCUUGUCUAUGUUCCUUGGAACAGGACGUCAUAGAGGGUGAGAAUCAAUACAUACCGUGUGGCGAGGAGUGCGGUUCUUUGUAAAGUGCCUUCGAAGAGUCGAGUUGUUUGGGAAUGCAGCUCUAAGUGGGUGGUAAAUUCCAUCUAAAGCUAAAUAUUGGCGAGAGACCGAUAGCGAACAAGUACAGUGAUGGAAAGAUGAAAAGAACUUUGAAAAGAGAGUGAAAAAGUACGUGAAAUUGUUGAAAGGGAAGGGCAUUUGAUCAGACAUGGUGUUUUGUGCCCUCUGCUCCUUGUGGGUAGGGGAAUCUCGCAUUUCACUGGGCCAGCAUCAGUUUUGGUGGCAGGAUAAAUCCAUAGGAAUGUAGCUUGCCUCGGUAAGUAUUAUAGCCUGUGGGAAUACUGCCAGCUGGGACUGAGGACUGCGACGUAAGUCAAGGAUGCUGGCAUAAUGGUUAUAUGCCGCCCGUCUUGAACCACGGACCAA